AUGGCGCUCUCCAGUCUGCUCUGGGUGUUCCUGGCCUUCACCUUCUCUAGUAGGGAUGCUCCCAAACCAGGAUCUGGUGUGGCCCAGGAAGUUACUCAAGACCAGCCAGCCAUAAUCAGUCAAGUGGGGAAGGUAGUCACCCUUAACUGUCAAUAUGAAACCAGUAAGAAUGUGCAUGACUACAGCAUUUUUUGGUACAAGCAGCUUCCCAGUGGACAGAUGACUUACCUCAUUCGUCAGUAUUCAGAAGACGAGAAUGAAAGGGAUGGCCGUUAUUCUGUAAACUUCCAAAAAGCACAUAAAUCCAUCAGCCUCACCAUUUCAUUCUUAAAACUGGAACAUUCUGCAAAGUAUUUCUGUGCUCUCUGGGAACUCACAGUGUUUGAAGUAAUAGGAAAAGCUGAACAAAAACCCCAGAACUUAAUAAGAGAGAGUCCCGCUGCUGCAGGACCCCAGCUGAAAUGCACAGCAGACCUCAGACAAGAAAUGAUAUUCUUGUGGUUGCUUAAUCUGUGA